rnacentral:misc_RNA from 1 species
AACGCACAUUGCGCCCUCCGGUAUUCCGGGGGGCAUGCCUGUUCGAGCGUCAUUAUAACCACUCAAGCUCUCGCUUGGUAUUGGGGUUCGCGGUUUCGCGGCCCCUAAAAUCAGUGGCGGUGCCUGUCGGCUCUACGCGUAGUAAUACUCCUCGCGAUUGAGUCCGGUAGGUUUACUUGCCAGCAACCCCUAAUUUUUUUAAGGUUGACCUCGGAUCAGGUAGGGAUACCCGCUGAACUUAA